ensembl:lncRNA
AUGCUCACUGAUGUUUGCUCUUCCAGCGUGCAGCUGUUGAACUCGUCCAGCUCCACCUUCCAGCCGGAGACACAAGAUCAGAUCUACCAGCUGAUCCUCGGCUCUCUCACAGGUGUCCAUCCAUCUGUCCAUCCAUACAUGUAUUCAUCCCUCCAUCCACUUAUCCAUCAUUCCUCUGUCUCCACAGGCCCCGCCCCACUGCGCUGCUAUGGUAACCAGAGCUACUACGCUUUCCUGAGCUCCUCCUUCAUGAGUUUCCAGUUCCCCGAUCUGACCACCUUCCUGUCUCUGAUGCCGUCGGCCCGCGUGCCAGAGCUGAUGGAGUCGGUGUCUCCAGCGGAGGUCAGCAGUCUCCUCAACCGGCCCAACGCUGUGGACGAUGUUACCCAAAUCUGCCGGUUUUUCAGAAUUUACCCAAAGACACCCCAGUACUUACAGACGGAGCCGCUGUUGCCCGUGGGUUUGGCCCGGCAGGUGUUGUCCUGCGUCUGGCCUCAGGUUCUGAAGCUGGACGUCCAGUCUGAGGUGAAUCAGUGGUUUGAUCAUCGACUGGUUCAGUACCUGCCUCUCCUCACCUCACAGUUCAUCGCUCCAGACGUCAUGCUAAACGCCUCCUGUCUCUCCUUCAAGAAGUUGUGA